UUCCAUCCUCUACAAAGGAGGAAAUACUGAGGUAUCCUAAGCAUUAGAAUAUAAGCGUCAGUUCUUCCCAUGGGCCACGGGAAUGUGCCACUGCAGUACAGUUGGAGUCUGCUUCUAAUAGAUCAUUUCAGGAGACAGGGCACUAUAAUAGCUGCCAUCGUCCUCAGGAGACCGGGGUCUCACUGCACAAGCCCUUGAUGACCAGGCUUGAGGCUCUUCAUCUGCACAGGGCACACCAUUAAGUUUACUUUGAUACCAUCGUCCUCUUUUACAGAUGGCCCAGAAAGGAUAAUUAACUUGACCAAGCCCAUGGAGCUAGUCAGUGGAAAUAGUCAAGAUUCAAUUACAAGGCUUUUGGUCUCCCGAGGCUAUUAUUUUUCUGCUGCACCAAGCUACAUUAGAUUUACAGACAAAUUCUAUGUCUGGGAACACAGGAUUCAGAAAAUCCCAGCAUAAAUACUUCCCAAUUUAAUGCUUCUGAAUGCUAUCAAAAUUCUUUAUUGAAAAAGUAUCAAAUUAGCUGAACCAGCUACUAUAGAAUUGGAAUUAGUAAAGUUAAAAAAAGA
rnacentral:lncRNA from 1 species